GACGAACGCUGGCGGCGUGCUUAACACAUGCAAGUCGAACGGAAAGGCCCUGCUUUUGUGGGGUGCUCGAGUGGCGAACGGGUGAGUAACACGUGAGUAACCUGCCCUUGACUUUGGGAUAACUUCUGGAAACUGGGGCUAAUACCGGAUAGGAGCUCCUGCUGCAUGGUGGUGGUUGGAAAGUUUCGGCGGUUGGGGAUGGACUCGCGGCUUAUCAGCUUGUUGGUGGGGUAGUGGCUUACCAAGGCUUUGACGGGUAGCCGGCCUGAGAGGGUGACCGGCCACAUUGGGACUGAGAUACGGCCCAGACUCCUACGGGAGGCAGCAGUGGGGAAUAUUGCACAAUGGGCGGAAGCCUGAUGCAGCAACGCCGCGUGCGGGAUGACGGCCUUCGGGUUGUAAACCGCUUUCGCCUGUGACGAAGCGUGAGUGACGGUAAUGGGUAAAGAAGCACCGGCUAACUACGUG
rnacentral:rRNA from 1 species